UUUUUUAUCAUAAAAAAACCUUUUUUUUUAGAAAAAAAACAACAAAAAAAAGAGUUAAAACACCACCUUACCACCUUACAUUCAUUUUUCAAAAUAGAGAGAAGGCUCUCAACUCUCUCAACCCUUCCCCUCCUCCGGUCAUCGGACCGGCCAUCAACCGUCACGCCGGUCACCGGCCACCGACGGUGGCGCCGCCAUCCACGGUGACCGAAAAAUCUUCCGAGGCCCUUUUUCGCUUCUAUUCUCGAGUAGAGCCCGGAUUUGGGGUUAAAAUGACCCAAAAACCUUCAAAAAUUAAUGAGAAGCACCCUAGAACUCAAGAAUCCAUUCGGUUUCCGGCCACCGAUCCUUGGCGGUGGCUUCCUCGGUCGUCCACGAUGUUGGAAAACUGAACACCGGUAAGAUCCUUCCCUCUUUCCCUUUUUUUUAUAUAUAUUUUACAAGUUUUUUUCUUUGUUAAAAAUAUUUGUAAAAUAGAUAAAACGAACGAAUAGAAAGAAGAUCAAAAAAAUAAAAAUAAGGACAAACACCUUUUGAGCUAGUUUUCUCCUUUUGACUUCUCCCAAAAGUCUCUGUAAUACAACCCCCUCUAAUACAAUCUCUUCUCUCCCCAAAAUACAAUCGAUUCUUCCUCAAAAUACCAUCGAUCCCCCCUCCCCUACAAUCGGUUCUAGUAUGGCUUUUAUAGCCAUUUACAAACUUUAUUAUAUAUAUUUGCUAUCUUUUCUUCUUCUUGUAUGGCAGGCAAACGGUGGUGGAGGCAUGUGCCGCUUGGAAGUGGUUGGAAGUGGGUGGUUGAGGCUUGCGGCUAGGGUUUCUAAGCUUUUGGGCUUCUUUUAGGUUUUAAUUUUUGGGUUGUAAUUGGGUUGGUAGCUUUGUUUGUAAAUGGACUUUUAAUGGGCAUUUUGAUUUUUUUCUUUAUAUAUUUUUUUUUUCAAAAUUUGGCUUAUUUAUUUUGAGGUCCGAGCAAAAUAUGGGUUCUACAAUUUUAACUGAAAAAACUAUUCUCAUUCUAAUUGGGCAUCCAAGUUGGCAUUUAAAAUGCAUUUGGACUGUCACAUAAGAUUGCUGUUAGAGAGGUAACAGAACUUAAUGGCAAAGUGGUUACUUCGUAACAAAAUGAUAACCUAAGUGAUUAAAACGUAACAUUUCAAACAUAAGUGACUAAAAUGCAAUUUGAG
rnacentral:lncRNA from 1 species